UACGUAGGGCGCAAGCGUUAUCCGGAAUUAUUGGGCGUAAAGAGCUCGUAGGCGGUUUGUCGCGUCUGCCGUGAAAGUCCGGGGCUCAACUCCGGAUCUGCGGUGGGUACGGGCAGACUAGAGUGAUGUAGGGGGAGACUGGAAUUCCUGGUGUAGCGGUGAAAUGCGCAGAUAUCAGGAGGAACACCGAUGGCGAAGGCAGGUCUCUGGGCAUUAACUGACGCUGAGGAGCGAAAGCAUGGGGAGCGAACAGGA
rnacentral:rRNA from 1 species